CUCAGAUAACCUUCCCCUGACUUUGUGACUGAGCUUCCAGAAACAUGUCAGGGAGUUUCUAGGAAGGAGGCCAGAAAUCAUGCAGUUAGCAAGGGAGAUCCAGCUGUGCCCACCUCAGCCUGAGAGUUUUAUUCACUUCUUCUGCAGGGAUCAUUUUCAGCCGUUCAAAAAGUUUCCUACUGUUUCACCUCGAUGGGGACUUUACUUGCUUUUCUGUGCAGGUUCUCUAUUAGUUAACAUGUUCCUCUACCCCAUUUAACUUUUGAAGUGUGGGGCCUCUGAAUGAGAAAAUGGAUUGCGUCUUCCAAUAUCAAAAUGGAGUCCUACUCAUGAUAAGUAGUUUAACACUUUUCUGAGAGUAUUGAGUUGCUUUAGGAAGACCAAGUGAUUGGGUUUCAAGAGAGAUACCAAGUUAAAGGAAUUCACAUCAUUAUAUCUCCCAGAGGACAAAGCCUAGAACUUUCUACAUUCAAGUCAGUGAAUAUUGGGGAGUGGGGAAUCCAUGAAUUCAUUAUGUGGCUGGAGUGCAAUGGCGCAAUCUCAGCUCACCACAAUCUCUGCCUCCUGGGUUCAAGCGAUUCUCCUGCCUCAGCCUCCCGAGUAGCUGGGAUUACAGGAGGCAAUUUUAAUUCAGAAGAUGGAAACCAGCAUAAUAUAGAUCUGUCGUGGCUUCAGCAUCAGGAAACAACACACUGAUCAUGACAUCAAACUCCAGAGGAAGCCGGCUAAGGAUGUGCUUGUUUUGAUGUGACAUGUGCCUGCGAUGAUUAACUCUCAUGCUCCCACAAUCUCUCCAGGGCCCCAGACUUGGUCCUUCCUCGCCUGUAAACAGGAUCAGGAUGCAUCCUGGAGUUCAGCCAAGGGCAUCUGGCCUUGGGUAAGACAGACUCCACAAAACACAUACAUUGUUCCUGGCAAGGGAACCACGAGGGAAGGAAAAGGAGAGAAGGAAGGCAGCAUGGGACACUGACAUCCAUCCACGUAUGACAAAUCACAUCAGAUGCAACUGAGCACAUGCAACUCAGAGGGAAAAGACAGGAAUAGGCCCAUGGAACACAUUCACCUUCUACAUGAUCAACAGCUUCGGGAAAGCAAUACAGCCAAGUGCCAAGUGAGAAAAAGGGAAAAGCAUGUAAAAUGAAUGAAAUGUUGACUGCAAUGGAAGACAUUUUAGACUGUUCUUGUUACAUAACAAAGAGAGGGAGGAAACCAUGCUGGGAGGAGACAUUGGGAGAGACCUGCCAACAGACCUCCAAAUGCAUAUUCAAAUGGUGUUUCAAAGCACUUCUUUGGGCUUAAGUCUUUUUACCUAUAAGAUGGAUUUUAAUGUUUCCAUUAAAAAUGGAAACUGUAUUGAUUAGGUAUAUGUUUUUAAAUUUUAUUAUUAACAGAAACAAGGUUUUGUUCCAAUACCCAGGGUGGAGUCCAGUGGCACAAUCACAGCUCACUGCAGCCUCAAACUUCUAGACUCAAGACAUCAUCCCGUCUCAGCCUCCUGAGUAGCUGGGACUACAGGUGUGUGCCACCAUGCCAGACUAGUUUUUUAAAAAAAUUCUGUAGAGAUGGAGCCUUGAUAACUUGUGCAGGCUGAUCUCAAACUCCUGGCCUCAAGUGAUCUUCCUGCUUUGCCCUCCCAAAGCACUGAGAUUAUAGGCCUGAGCCACCAUGCCUGCUUAAUUAUCUUUUUCCAAGGCACUGGCCAGGCCACUUUGUAAAAAAGAAAAAAAAAAGUAGGUCAGUAUAUUAACAGACAUUGUAGGUCAGUCUUGCUUUAAAAAAUUAUACUUCUAAAAGAAGAAAAUUAUUGUCAUCCUGGAAAUUGGUUCCAGAAGAAAAGGGAGAGAAGUUAUGGGGGCAAAUGACAAUUGCCAGAGGCAAGGUGAUGUCCCAUUUAUGUCGGAGAAUGAAAUAUUUGUACUGUGCAAUAACAGCCAAAAAUUCAAUUGGAAAAGGGUAGCCUUUGACAUGAGUAACUGGUUUGGCAGACUUUUUCUGAGAUUGAGAUGACCAUGCAGGACAGUAUUGGGCAUCAGGUAAACAGCUCCUUAGAUAUGUGACAAUCAGUGAGAGAUGGCACUGGGCAGAAAUAAAAGUAGCCUCAGAACUUCCUGAGUUCUGUCUAUAAAAGCCUAAAAGCAUUGCUUAGGUGCCAAUCAAUCUAAUAAUAUAUAUGCUACUUGUACCUUCUUGUACAUUUAGUAUCAUGAGGAUUAGUUACUGCUGUAAGUUUAAAAAUGUGAUUGUUGGAAGAGAGAUUACAGGUAAGGUCUGGCAGUAAGGGGACAGUGGGCAAGAGAGAAACCAGAACACCCACCUUAUAACCCUGACCAGUGGGCUUCCUACAACAUUCACUUAAGCAAAUUAUCAGUGAUGCAAAACUGAGCCCCUCUUAUAUGCUACCGUUUAUGCAGGGUGAACUUCUAAAUCUAGGUUCUCAUCUUUCUGUGCCAACAAGUACGUGUGAGUGGAAAAUAUUCUAAGAUAUUAGUUUUUAUUUUUCUCUCUGAAUUUCCCCUUCCCCCUUAAUCAGUCUAACAGCAGGCUUUGUGUUUCAGUGCCUCAGGGAGAGAUGUGACUGAGCAGAAAUAAAAGUAGCCUGCAAAACUUCCUGAAUUAUAUCUUCAAAAGCCUAAGAUCAUUAAGGAAGAGAGAGUUUGGAGAAAAUAGCAUGGAGGUUUGAAAAAAGCAGAUGAGAGAGAGGAGUUUUGCCCUUCAACUAACAGAGAGGAAUCUCCUGCCAGAGGCAGGGUUGCAGGACUCAGGCCUCUUCUUGGUGUGGCAUAUUCCCAGAAUUGAUCCCCAGCUGUCUCUGGGGGAUGAGUCAAUGGCCACUGAGAGUUCCUGCCUUCAAGAACAUUCCUGUGUGUUGAGAGUGGCAGGAGCAGUGGAGAUCCCCAGGCCUGAAACGUGAUGUUGAUGGGGACCACAGAACAGAGUAGCCGGGAGAGUGCACAGAGCAUAACCAGCACCCUGAUGCCUGAUGCUUGGCCAUGGGCGAUUCUGCAGCAUUGGCAUGCCAUCCGUCAGAGUGGUGACAAAGACUCUCUCCUUUACCAAACUCUAGUCAGGCCCCUCUGAGCCCUCUUCUCCACUAGACCUCAACUUCAGCCUAUAAAAACUACAGAAACUACAAAAACUACUCUCCAUAUAAAUGAUUUUGUCCACAGCCCCUGGUGCGCGCACACACACACACACACACACACACACACACACACACACACACUGACACUGGCUAGCAUAGUUUCUAACAACUCAAGCUCAUGUCCCUAGAAUGACAGCUCUACCUUCUUUAAAUUCCUGCCUGGGAAAGCUCAAGGCUGCCAAAAGAACUGACUGCUUCUCCAACACCUGAAGAUGUGCUGGUGUUGUCUCCCCAUCUCCCAGUCCCUGUAGGAGGUUAGGAGCCUAAUUUCCCUAAGUGCCAGUUAAGAAAGCCAAAUGACCUAAUAGCAUUGACAGAUUUGCCUUCCUGCUUUUUGAGAAUUUCCACUUCCCUGAUUCUACUCAAGUCCCCACUGUUCCCGUGUCCUACUUUCUCAUUCUCCCCUUAAGAACACCACACCCAAUCCCAUUACUGGGUAUAUACCCAAAGGAUUAUAAAUCAUCCUACUAUAAAGACACAUGCACAUGUAUGUUUAUUGCAGCACUGUUCACAAUAGCAAAGACUUGGAACCACCCCAAUGCCCAUCAAUGUUAGACUGGAUAAAGAAAAUGUGGCACAUACACACCAUGGAAUACUAUGCAGCCAUAAAAAAGAAUGAGUUCAGGUCCUUUGCAGGGACAUGGAUGAAGCUGGAAACCAUUGUUCUCAGCAAACUAACACAGGAACAGAAAACCAAAUACCGCAUGUUCUCACUCGUAAGUGGAGGUGAACAAUGAGAACAUAUGGGCACAGGGAGCGGAACAUCACACACUGGGGCCUGUCAGGGGGUGGGAGGCAAGGGGAGGGAUAGCAUUAGGAGAAAUACCUAAUGUAGAUGAUGGGUUGAUACGUGCAGCAAACCACCAUGGCACAUGUAUACCUAUGUAACAAACCUGCACAUUCUGCACAUGUACCCCAUAACUUAAAGCAUAAUAAAAAUAAAAAAUAAAAAAAACUAAAAGAGUAUUGUUUGUAACACAAAGAAAGAAUAAAUGCUUAAGGUGAUGGAGACCCUUACUUACCCUGAUGUGAUUAUUAUGCAUUGUAUUCCUAUAUCGAAAUAGCUUAUGUAUCCCAUAAAUAUAUACACCUGUGUACCCACAAAAAUUAAAAAUUAAAAUAAUUAGAAGCUAAAAAAAAAAAAACCCAAUCACCUCUACAAGAAUCAAAGUUGAGCUUAGUUCACACUGG
rnacentral:lncRNA from 1 species